rnacentral:rRNA from 1 species
ACGGCUCAGUAACACGUGGACAACCUACCCUUAGGACGGGGAUAAACCCGGGAAACUGGGUAUAAUACCCGAUAGAUCUCGGCUGCUGGAAUGCAUCGAGAUCUAAAGCUCCGGCGCCUAAGGAUGGGUCUGCGGCCUAUCAGGUAGUAGUGGGUGUAGUGUACCUACUAGCCUACGACGGGUACGGGUUGUGAGAGCAAGAGCCCGGAGAUGGAUUCUGAGACACGAAUCCAGGCCCUACGGGGUGCAGCAGGCGCGAAAACUUUACAAUGCUGGCAACAGCGAUAAGGGGACCUCGAGUGCCAGGUUACAAAUCUGGCUGUCGUGAUGCCUAAAAAGCAUUGCAUAGCAAGGGCCGGGCAAGACCGGUGCCAGCCGCCGCGGUAACACCGGCGGCUCGAGUGGUAACCGUUAUUAUUGGGUCUAAAGGGUCUGUAGCCGGCCGGAUAAGUCUCUUGGGAAAUCUGGCAGCUUAACUGUCAGGCUUUCAGGAGAUACUGUCUGGCUCGAGGCCGGGAGAGGUGAGAGGUACUUCAGGGGUAGGGGUGAAAUCUUGUAAUCCUUGAAGGACCACCAGUGGCGAAGGCGUCUCACCAGAACGGACCUGACGGCAAGGGACGAAAGCUAGGGGCACGAACCGGAUUAGAUACCCGGGUAGUCCUAGCCGUAAACGAUACUCGCUAGGUGUCGGCCACGGUGCGACCGUUGUCGGUGCCGUAGGGAAGCCGUGAAGCGAGCCACCUGGGGAAGUACGGCCGCAAGGCUGAAACUUAAAGGAAUUGGCGGGGGAG